AUUGAAAGCUGGCGGCAGGCCUAACACAGGCAAGGCGAGCGAGCGGCGGACGGGUGAGUAAUGUAUGGGGACUGCCCGAUAGAGGGGGAUAACUACUGGAAACGGUGGCUAAUACCGCAUACUAUCGGAUAACCCAUAUGGGAUUAGCUAGUAGGUGGUGUAAAGGCUAACCAAGGCGACGAUCUCUAGCUGGUCUGAUAGGAUGAUCAGCCACAAUGGGAGUGAGACCGGGCCAAGACUCCUACGGAUGCAGUAUAGGGGAAUAUGGCACGAUGGGCGCAAGCCUGAUUCAGACAGGCCGCGUGUAUGAAGAAGGGCUGAGGGUUGUAAAGGACUUUCAGCGGUGAGGCGUUCCCCGCAGAAUAAGCACCGGCUAACUCCGUGUCAGCAGCCGCGGUAAUUC
rnacentral:rRNA from 1 species